AGCUCCAAUAGCGUAUAUUAAAGUUGUUGCGGUUAAAAAGCUCGUAGUUGGAUUUCUGCCGAGGACGACCGGUCCGCCCUCUGGGUGAGUAUCUGGUUCGGCCUGGGCAUCUUCUUGGAGAACGUGUCUGCACUUGACUGUGUGGUGCGGUAUCCAGGACUUUUACUUUGAGGAAAUUAGAGUGUUUCAAGCAGGCUUACGCCUUGAAUACAUUAGCAUGGAAUAAUAAGAUAGGACCUCGGUUCUAUUUUGUUGGUUUCUAGAGCUGAGGUAAUGAUUAAUAGGGAUAGUUGGGGGCAUUCGUAUUUAACUGUCAGAGGUGAAAUUCUUGGAUUUGUUCAAGACGGACUACUGCGAAAGCAUUUGCCAAGGAUGUUUUCAUUGAUCAAGAACGAAAGUA
rnacentral:rRNA from 1 species